rnacentral:rRNA from 1 species
CCUACGGGAGGCAGCAGUGGGGGAUAUUGGACAAUGGGCGCAAGCCUGACCCAGCAACGCCGCGUGAAGGAAGAAGGCUUUCGGGUUGUAAACUUCUUUUCUGAGGGACGAACAUAUGACUGUAUCCCAGGAAUAAGCCACGUCUAACUACGUGCGAGCAGCCGAGGUAAUACAUAGGUGGCAAGUGUUAUCCGGAUUUAGUGGGUGUAAAGGGCGUGUAGGCGGGCAUGCAAGUCAGAUGUGAAAACUAUGGGCUCAACCCCUAGACUGCAGUUGAAACUGUAUGUCUUGAGUGCUGGAGAGGUAAGCGGAAUUCCGGGUGUAGCGGUGAAAUGCGUAGAUAUAAGGAGGAACACCAGUGGCGAAGGCGGAUUGCUGGACAGUAACUGACGCUGAGGCGCGAAAGCGUGGGGAGCAAACAGGAUUAGAUACCCUUGUAGUC